UACGGGGGGUGCAAGCGUUGUUCGGAAUUACUGGGCGUAAAGGGCGCGUAGGCGGUGUGUCAAGUCAGGCGUGAAAGCCCCGGGCUCAACCUGGGAACCGCGCUUGAGACUGGCACGCUCGAGUUCGGGAGAGGAUGGUGGAAUUCCCAGUGUAGAGGUGAAAUUCGUAGAUAUUGGGAAGAACACCGAUGGCGAAGGCAGCCAUCUGGACCGACACUGACGCUGAGGCGCGAAAGCCAGGGGAGCAAACGGG
rnacentral:rRNA from 1 species